rnacentral:rRNA from 1 species
AUUGAACGCUGGCGGCAGGCCUAACACAUGCAAGUCGAGCGGAUGAAGGGAGCUUGCUCCUGGAUUCAGCGGCGGACGGGUGAGUAAUGCCUAGGAAUCUGCCUGGUAGCGGGGGAUAACGUCCGGAAACGGGCGCUAAUACCGCAUACGUCCUGAGGGAGAAAGUGGGGGAUCUUCGGACCUCACGCUAUCAGAUGAGCCUAGGUCGGACUAGCUAGUUGGUGGGGUAAAGGCCUACCAAGGCGACGAUCCGUAACUGGUCUGAGAGGAUGAUCAGUCACACUGGAACUGAGACACGGUCCAGACUCCUACGGGAGGCAGCAGUGGGGAAUAUUGGACAAUGGGCGAAAGCCUGAUCCAGCCAUGCCGCGUGUGAAGAAGGUCUUCGGAUUGUAAAGCACUUUAAGUUGGGAGGAAGGGCAGUAAGUUAAUACCUUGCUGUUUUGACGUUACCAACAGAAUAAGCACCGGCUAACUUCGUG